UGAGAGUGAAACCGUUAUAGUGGAAGGUGUAAGCCAGGAAUCGGGAGACGGGACUUGAGAGCAUUUGAGCCAAUAACCUGUGCCUGAAGCUAGUGCCACCUCUUGGACGUUUCUGUGAUAUUAGCUGCUACAGAGCAGCAUCUGAAGAGCCACGGGGCCCCCACCUUCAUCCCUGAGAAUUUUAGGAGCCAGCCUGCCUUUCCAGGUGACACUGGACACUUUCAUCUGAGAACCCUGUCACAUGACAGUUGUUUCCUUUCUUCCUCCUCUCCUGGGAAUGCUGCUGCUUCGAUGACCCAAGAGCCUAAGAAGGGUAGCUGUUUCUCAAUACACUGAGAGAGAGUUCUUUCUCCGUCCUGACCAUCUUGGGACCCGAUGGCAAGACUGGAAGGAUUUAUAUCUCCUUUUGUACAGAAAACUGCCUCCCCAUGUUGGUUUGUGAAGUGAAAUGCAUAUAAAACAGAGGAUUCCAGACUCUCAGAAGUCAAUACAUAAAUAAAUAAAAAUAAAACUGAGAAGAUA
rnacentral:lncRNA from 1 species